rnacentral:misc_RNA from 1 species
CUGGAACAAACGCCCUCACGGGUGCUACCCAGAAACCCUUUGUGAAUACUACCUAAAAUGUUGCCUCGGCAUUGGUUGGCCUCUUUGAGGUCCCUUUCCCUCGGGGAAGGAGCAGACCGGCCGGUGGCCCUAUAAACUCUUGUUUUUGUAAUAUCAUCUGAGUAAAAAA